CGCCGCGUGCUUCCAGACAACUGCGGAGUAGACGACCAAAGCCUACGGUCCUCGAAUCCCCAGCAAAUCCCGAGAUGCAGGUGAAUGGUCCAUUUGAGAAGCAGCAAGACACAAGUGCCCGGCUUGUCUGCCAGGCAAUCCGGGACCUGAGACCUCAUCUUGAGACGCAGGUGUCAUUGCCAGGCCCCGCGGGGGACCAAACAAGCGGCAUCAUGCACACACCUGCGGCAGAAUACGUCAUUGAAAAAGCAAUCUGAGUAUAGAAGUUUUUGCAACUGACCAAUGAGCCACGGAGAUUUGAUCCAGAGUUUCUGCACGAAUCCUCGCCAGCGUCUUCUCUUUACCUGUUGUGCUGAAUCAGAACACCUUGUAGGGCACUAAGGCCCUCUCUCAGGUUGCCCAUUCAAGCUCACGUCUUGUCUCCAUUCAUUAAACAUUCAUUAAGCACCCGCUGUGCUGCCUGAUCCUUCUCUCCUGCCCCCAAAUGUUAUCCUCAUCUUAAAGACAAGGGACUCAACUCAGCCCCUAGCAGGUGGUAUAACCUCGGUAGUAGCUGUUAAUAAUUAAAGGUCUGCAACUCUC